GAUGAAGAACGUAGUGAAAUGCGAUAAGUAAUGUGAAUUGCAGAAUUCAGUGAAUCAUCGAAUCUUUGAACGCACAUUGCGCCCGCCAGCAUUCUGGCGGGCAUGCCUGUUCGAGCGUCAUUUCAACCCUCGACCUCCCUUUGGGGAAGUCGGCGUUGGGGACCGGCAGCACACCGCCGGCCCUGAAAUGGAGUGGCGGCCCGUCCGCGGCGACCUCUGCGUAGUAAUCCAACUCGCACCGGAACCCCGACGCGGCCACGCCGUAAAACACCCAACUUCUGAACGUUGACCUCGAAUCAGGUAGGACUACCCGCUGAACUUAAGCAUAUCAAUAAGCGGAGGA
rnacentral:misc_RNA from 1 species